rnacentral:rRNA from 1 species
CCUACGGGAGGCAGCAGUGGGGAAUCUUGGACAAUGGGGGCAACCCUGAUCCAGCCAUGCCGCGUGAGUGAUGAAGGCCUUAGGGUCGUAAAGCUCUUUCGCCUGUGAAGAUAAUGACGGUAGCAGGUAAAGAAGCCCCGGCUAACUCCGUGCCAGCAGCCGCGGUAAUACGGAGGGGGUUAGCGUUGUUCGGAAUUACUGGGCGUAAAGCGCACGUAGGCGGAUCGGAAAGUUGGGGGUGAAAUCCCGGGGCUCAACCCCGGAACUGCCUCCAAGACUAUCGGUCUAGAGUUCGAGAGAGGUGAGUGGAAUUCCGAGUGUAGAGGUGAAAUUCGUAGAUAUUCGGAGGAACACCAGUGGCGAAGGCGGCUCACUGGCUCGAUACUGACGCUGAGGUGCGAAAGUGUGGGGAGCAAACAGGAUUAGAUACCCUGGUAGUCCACACCGUAAACGAUGAAUGCCAGUCGUCGGGUAGCAUGCUAUUCGGUGACACACCUAACGGAUUAAGCAUUCCGCCUGGGGAGUACGGUCGCAAGAUUAAAACUCAAAUGAAUUGACGGA